CCCACGGGUGGCAGCAGUGGGGAAUAUUGGACAAUGGGGGCAACCCUGAUCCAGCCAUGCCGCGUGUGUGAAGAAGGCCCUCGGGUUGUAAAGCACUUUCAGUGAGGAAGAACGCCUGGUGGUUAAUACCCAUCAGGAAAGACAUCACUCACAGAAGAAGCACCGGCUAACUCCGUGCCAGCAGCCGCGGUAAUACGGAGGGUGCGAGCGUUAAUCGGAAUUACUGGGCGUAAAGCGCGCGUAGGUGGCUUGAUAAGCCGGUUGUGAAAGCCCCGGGCUCAACCUGGGAACGGCAUCCGGAACUGUCAAGCUAGAGUGCAGGAGAGGAAGGUAGAAUUCCCGGUGUAGCGGUGAAAUGCGUAGAGAUCGGGAAGAAUACCAGUGGCGAAGGCGGCCUACUGGACUGACACUGACACUGAGGUGCGAAAGCGUGGGUAGCAAACAGGAUUAGAUACCCGAGUAGUC
rnacentral:rRNA from 1 species